CGGUUCGUCUGAUGAAAACGGUCCAUCAGACCGUUUUCAUCAGACGAACCGAUCGUGUGUAUGCGGCAUAAGGCUAUUUACAAAGGGUUAUUAACAAGUACUUCCAAAUGUUGGAAGUGAUAGCAUUGUCAUUAACCCAUUUCCUGACGAUCUUUUCUCUAUAUGAAGAAAAGGGAAAGAAGCUUUCACUGUGUGUGUGUCCUAUUUGUGCAUCGGUCUUAUUUGGAAGGAGAUUGAGUCAGGCUCUGGGAGCAAUUAAGUAAGAAAAAAGAAAAUCUGAUUGGUGGGACACAUUUGGAAAUGAGGCUCAAUGUUCUAGGUAGGACACUAGAUACAUAGCUUGUGCCAAUUUAUGGAUGCCAGUUGGCAAUUUGUUUUUCUUUGCAAAAAAAUAUAGUAGUAAACAAAUCAUGUACCAUAUCAAAUAGAGCUUAGGCAUGCAGACAGUCCCCUGAAGCAUCCCGAUUCUUGGACUUGUAAAGGACAUGUCACAAAAAAGAAACCAGAAUCCUGAGUAGGUUAUUUGCUAAGAGUGCCCAUGAAAUUCAUUUUCAAUCUUACAAGACCAGCACCUUGCUAAAGGUUGUAUUACUUUUUUUUUUUGCAAUUCGCAAUGUUUAUGAUAUUAUAUACUGUAUGUCCUCUAAGUUAUUAUUGUCAAGGAUUUGGUAACGGCUUUUUUCCUUAAUGAUUCAGGCCCAGAAAUUAAAUUUACCACCAGAAGCAAAUAAACAUGCUGAUACAGAAGAGAGUAGACCUCGUGUAUGAAAAAUGUGCUUCGAUUUGUUUCCAUUCUAGUAUGCCUGGCAAACAUUACAGCUAGAAGUAAAUUGCUUGAUAUUGCAUCUUAACAGUC